rnacentral:rRNA from 1 species
GAUGAACGCUGGCGGCGUGCUUAACACAUGCAAGUCGAACGGAAAGGCUCCUGCUUGCAGGGGUACUCGAGUGGCGAACGGGUGAGUAACACGUGGGUGAUCUGCCCUGCACUUCGGGAUAAGCCUGGGAAACUGGGUCUAAUACCGGAUAGGACGAUGGUUUGGAUGCCAUUGUGGACAGAUUUUUCGGUGUGGGAUGAGCUCGCGGCCUAUCAGCUUGUUGGUGGGGUAAUGGCCUACCAAGGCGUCGACGGGUAGCCGGCCUGAGAGGGUGUACGGCCACAUUGGGACUGAGAUACGGCCCAGACUCCUACGGGAGGCAGCAGUGGGGAAUAUUGCACAAUGGGCGCAAGCCUGAUGCAGCGACGCCGCGUGGGGGAUGACGGCCUUCGGGUUGUAAACUCCUUUCGCUAGGGACGAAGCGCAAGUGACGGUACCUGGAGAAGAAGCACCGGCUAACUACGUG